AUCCAUUCCUUUUCUUUUUCUCCUUUCUUCUUCUCCCCAUUCUUCCUUUUUCUUCUCCUCUUCUUUCUCUUCUCCAGCAGCGACGAACAACAAAGCUCUCCGAGUUCUUCUUCUCCAAGCUUGCAACCCCCUUCUUUCCUUUUCUCUUCUCCAACCGCAACAAGCAACAAGCUUCUCCUUCCUUGCUGUCCUGCUUCUCGGCAAAAUCGUCGGAGCUCCUCGGAGUGUCCAAGAGCUCGCCGAACCACUAGGAAAGAGGGGAAAACAAAGUCCUGAUUGCUGCCCUCUUUUGUAGCCAAGCACAACAGCCACUGGAGCUAGCUAUGGCCUUCGCCGGAGCUCACCCAGAUAACUAGUGAAAAAGGGAAAAGCACCGCCGGAGCUUGCCGGAGCUAGCUAAGACGGCCAACGACAAAGGGAAAACAACCCUAAUUGCUGCCUUCUUUUUCCAGCAACCACAGUAAUCCAUAGAAGGUAUAUUUUAUAUACUUUAUGCUAAUCGAAUUGUGGUUAGGAUGGGUAAAUAAUUAGAUAAUAAUGAAGGUGUCUUUUAGGAAUGUGAAGUGGUACGAGAAAGCUAGAUCAAAAUGAUCCUUCGACUUUGAGUUGUAGAUAAAAAUUUAGGUGUUCAUGUCAUGAUUCUUAUUAGAUAGUAUUUUGACUAUUUGAGUUAUGUUGUAUUAUAUUUGUAGACACGAGCUCGAGUGGAGCACAGUGACCUGCCGACACUCGAAGAUUUUGCUAUACAUAAAGCGGAUAUAUAUAUCUUUGACUCAUAUUUAUCCUUGUGCAUGAAUAAAGUACUAUUGAAAUUAUAUUUAUUCA